rnacentral:rRNA from 1 species
AGGACGAACGCUGGCGGCGUGCUUAACACAUGCAAGUCGAGCGGUAAGGCCUUUCGGGGUACACGAGCGGCGAACGGGUGAGUAACACGUGGGUGAUCCGCCCUGCACUUCGGGAUAAGCCUGGGAAACUGGGUCUAAUACCGGAUAUGACCUCCUACCGCAUGGUGGGUGGUGGAAAGAUUUAUCGGUGCAGGAUGGGCCCGCGGCCUAUCAGCUUGUUGGUGGGGUAAUGGCCUACCAAGGCGACGACGGGUAGCCGACCUGAGAGGGUGACCGGCCACGACUGGGACUGAGACACGGCCCAGACUCCUACGGGAGGCAGCAGUGGGGAAUAUUGCACAAUGGGCAAAGCCUGAUGCAGCGACGCCGCGUGAGGGAUGACGGCCUUCGGGUUGUAAACCUCUUUCAGCAGGACGAAGCGCAAGUGACGGUACUGCAGAAGAAGCACCGCAACUACGUGCCAGCAGCCGC